UGGGGAAUCUUCCGCAAUGGGCGCAAGCCUGACGGAGCAACGCCGCGUGAGUGAAGAAGGUCUUCGGAUCGUAAAGCUCUGUUGAUGGGGACGAACGUGCCUAAUGCGAAUAGUAUUAGGUAAUGACGGUACCCAUCGAGGAAGCCACGGCUAACUACGUGCCAGCAGCCGCGGUAAUACGUAGGUGGCGAGCGUUGUCCGGAAUCAUUGGGCGUAAAGGGAGCGCAGGCGGGCAUGUAAGUCUUUCUUAAAAGUGCGGGGCUCAACCCCGUGAUGGGACAGAAACUAUGUGUCUUGAGUACAGGAGAGGAAGGCGGAAUUCCCAGUGUAGCGGUGAAAUGCGUAGAUGUUGGGAGGAACACCAGUGGCGAAGGCGGCUUUCUGGACUGCAACUGACGCUGAGGCUCGAAAGCCAGGGGAGCGAACGGG
rnacentral:rRNA from 1 species